rnacentral:ncRNA from 1 species
UUAAAGGCUGCGAACAGGAAUAGUAGGCUCCGCAGCGGGGCGCAGAGAGUCGGGUAAGGUGAGAGCCGAUGCCAGCGCCGGAGCAGAAUGGGCCUGGGAGCUGCAAACCGAAAGCCGGUAUGGCGAGUAGGCUUUGACGCAGGGGAAGCGUUAUAGUAUCCCAGGGUAUCGCCCCCAAGCAAGGGCCGUACCUGAGAGAGAUGGUCGCUUACUUAUCUUCUAUUUACUGACCAAGAAGGGUGGCACCGCGGAAGCAGCCUCCGCCCCUUCC